rnacentral:ncRNA from 1 species
CCCACGGUAAAUGCUGGGUAGCAAAGUGCGGAGCGGAUAACUGCUUAAAGCAUCUAAGUAGUAAGCCCACCCCAAGAUGAGUGCUCUCCUAUUCCGAAUUCCCCAGAGCCGCCGAUAGCACAACUAAGGCAGCGACGGGUUCACUGCCCCUGCGUUGUGGGGGUAGAGCGCCAUAAGUUUUGAAAGAGCAAGUCACGACGAGAUGAGUCGUUUAUCAUUAUGAUAGGUGUCAAGUGGAAGUGUAGUGAUGUAUGCAGCUGAGGCAUCCUAACAGACCGAUAGAGUUGAACCU